UCCCCCUGACCGGRKCCUGUCCGUAGCGGGUGCGAGGCCCAUAGCCGCCGCGUCCGUCUCGAAUGCGAUCUCCUUGGAGUCGGGUUGCUUGGGAGUGCAGCCCCAAUCGGGUGGUAAACUCCACCUAAGGCUAAAUACCGCCGUGAGACCGAUAGCAAACAAGUACCGUGAGGGAAAGUUGCAAAGAACUUUGAAGAGAGAGUUCAAGAGUACGUGAAACUGCUCAGAGGUAAACGGGUGGGCCCUCGAAAUCCUGUGGCGAGAGGAUUCAGUCUGGGUCGGAGGACGGCCCGGGGGAAGUUCGAGAAGGGCAUCCGCGCACGCGGGCCGUCCCUCGAGUCGCAACUCCUCCGUCCCAGACGCAUUUGUCUCUCGUCCCGAGGACGCUGCAGCCGGUCUGGGAGUGCAAGCGCGACGGCCUGAAGGCCGGGUGACGGCAGGUGGCCGGUGACUCGCUCUUCGCGCGUCGCCGGUUGUUAGCCUUCCCGGCAGUGGCCCGUCUCCAGACCGUGGUGUCGCGAGUCCCUUCGGGGACUCACCGUCUCCUCCCRKNWGANAGCGGGACAGAGCCCGGCCAGGGACCUCGUUCUCGACCGUCGCACUUCCACGGAGUGGGCGGACGAGGCGAGUGCCCGAAUCGCCGGGUCGGAYCCGCGGGGGGCCGGAGGCUGGCAGCGAGUAGGUCGGUCACCCACCCGACCCGUCUUGAAACACGGACCAAGGAGUCUAACAUGUGCGCGAGUCAAUGGGUCUUGACUAGGCCCAUGGGCGCAAUGAAAGCGAAGGGCCGCCUAGCGGUCCGAGUGGGGAUCCCCCGCCCUCGAGGCGGGGGCGCACCCGCGACCCGUCCUAUCCGGCUCGCCGGUUGGGCGGAGUCUGAGCGUACACGUUGGGACCCGAAAGAUGGUGAACUAUGCCCGGACAGGACGAGGCCAGAGGAAACUCUGGUGGAGGUCCGCAGC
rnacentral:rRNA from 1 species